GUGGGGAAUAUUGGACAAUGGGCGAAAGCCUGAUCCAGCCAUGCCGCGUGUGUGAAGAAGGUCUUCGGAUUGUAAAGCACUUUAAGUUGGGAGGAAGGGCAGUAAGUUAAUACCUUGCUGUUUUGACGUUACCGACAGAAUAAGCACCGGCUAACUUCGUGCCAGCAGCCGCGGUAAUACGAAGGGUGCAAGCGUUAAUCGGAAUUAAUGGGCGUAAAGCGCGCGUAGGUGGUUUUGUAAGUUGGAGGUGAAAUCCCCGGGCUCAACCUGGGAACUGCCUCCAAAACUGCAUGACUAGAGUACGGUAGAGGGUAGUGGAAUUUCCUGUGUAGCGGUGAAAUGCGUAGAUAUAGGAAGGAACACCAGUGGCGAAGGCGACUACCUGGACUGAUACUGACACUGAGGUGCGAAAGCGUGGGGAGCAAACAGGAUUAGAAACCCGGGUAGUCC
rnacentral:rRNA from 1 species